rnacentral:rRNA from 1 species
UACAGAGGUCUCGAGCGUUGUUCGGAUUCAUUGGGCGUAAAGGGCGCGUAGGCGGCGGGGUAAGUCUGGUGUGAAAUCUCGGAGCUCAACUCCGAAAUUGCACUGGAUACUGCUCUGCUAGAGGGCUGGAGAGGAGAUCGGAAUUCACGGUGUAGCAGUGAAAUGCGUAGAUAUCGUGAGGAAGACCAGUGGCGAAGGCGGAUCUCUGGACAGCUCCUGACGCUGAGGCACGAAGGCCAGGGGAGCAAACGGG